rnacentral:rRNA from 1 species
UACGUAGGGUGCGAGCGUUGUCCGGAAUUAUUGGGCGUAAAGAGCUCGUAGGCGGUGUGUCACGUCGAUCGUGAAAACUUGGGGCUUAACUCUGAGCUUGCGGUCGAUACGGGCACCACUGGAGUUCGGCAGGGGAGACUGGAAUUCCCGGUGUAGCAGUGAAAUGCGUAGAGAUCGGGAGGAACACCCGUGGCGAAGGCGGCUCUCUGGAACGCAACUGACGCUGAGACGCGAAAGCGUGGGGAGCAAACAGG